rnacentral:rRNA from 1 species
AUUGAACGCUGGCGGCAGGCCUAACACAUGCAAGUCGAACGGUAACAGGAAGAAGCUUGCUUCUUUGCUGACGAGUGGCGGACGGGUGAGUAAUGUCUGGGAAACUGCCUGAUGGAGGGGGAUAACUACUAGAAACGGUAGCUAAUACCGCAUAACGUCGCAAGACCAAAGAGGGGGACCUUCGGGCCUCUUGCCAUCGGAUGUGCCCAGAUGGGAUUAGCUAGUAGGUGGGGUAACGGCUCACCUAGGUGACGAUCCCUAGCUGGUCUGAGAGGAUGACCAGCCACACUGGAACUGAGACACGGUCCAGACUCCUACGGGAGGCAGCAGUGGGGAAUAUUGCACAAUGGGCGCAAGCCUGAUGCAGCCAUGCCGCGUGUAUGAAGAAGGCCUUCGGGUUGUAAAGUACUUUCAGCGGGGAGGAAGGGAGUAAAGUUAAUACCUUUGCUCAUUGACGUUACCCGCAGAAGAAGCACCGGCUAACUCCGUG